ACGGAGGAUCCAAGCGUUAUCCGGAUUUAUUGGGUUUAAAGGGUGCGCAGGCGGAAUAAUAAGUCAGUGGUGAAAUCCUGCAGCUUAACUGCAGAACUGCCAUUGAUACUGUUAUUCUUGAGUAUAUUUGAAGUGGGCGGAAUGUGUCAUGUAGCGGUGAAAUGCUUAGAUAUGACACAGAACACCAAUUGCGAAGGCAGCUCACUAAGCUAUAACUGACGCUCAUGCACGAAAGCGUGGGGAUCAAACAGGAUUAGAUACCCUGGUAGUCCACGCUGUAAACGAUGAUUACUCGAUGUUGGCGAUAUACAGUCAGCGUCUAAGCGAAAGCAAUAAGUAAUCCACCUGGGGAGUACGAUCGCAAGGUUG
rnacentral:rRNA from 1 species